rnacentral:tRNA from 1 species
UCCCUGGUGGCUCAGACGGUAAAGCGUCUGCCUGCAAUGCGGGAGACCCAGGUUCGAUUCCUGGGUCGGGAA